rnacentral:lncRNA from 1 species
AACGGGUAAAAUCCUACUCAAAUGGAGGAAUACUCGAGAUGAAAGGGACGUAUUGGUAAAUGUUGUGAAAUGGAUACUUUGAACAGGUAUGUACUUAACCCUCGGGUUGAAAACUCCACAUAACAACAAUAUGGUAAGAUGGUAAAUGAAAAUGUGAUAUGAAUGUCUCGGUGAUAAUUAUACAAACGAUGUUGUAUUAAUUUUGUGAACAAUGAUCAGGAAUGAGUAAUUUAGCCUUGACAGAGUUGAGUUACUGCAGUAGUGUAAUUUUGAAAAUACACUAAAAAUAGUGGAAAAUGAGCUAGAGGCAGAAUAAAAUAUGAUAUUAAAGCUUAAUGAGUCUAUUUUCACAUGAAAGAAACAGGGGAAGAAAAAGAAUUCCACAUUGUGUGAUAUUUGAAUUCUUGUGAAAUAGGGUCUGAAUGAAUUCGAGAUCCCCUAUUUUGACUUUAGAAAUUCACAAAAAAUUUUACAAAAAUUAUUAUGAGUCAUACCUUACAUGCAUGGAUUUCUUAUUGAGUCUAUUUUUACGGGAAAUAAACGUCAUGGUCGUUGGAAUUUUGUAUAGGGAGAAAUUCGGUUUGUAGUGCACAGGGGUCAGAGUGGUCAUACCCUGAAACAGAGGAGAAUUUAACUAAUAAACUGUACUAAUUGGCCCAACCAAAAAUUCUAGAAAAAAAUUAGUAAGUAUAAAUAUGAGUCUAGUUUCAAUAGAAAUAGACGAGAACAUUAUUCGAGUCUUGUACUAUGAGAUAAUUUAACUUUAGUACAGAAGGGUCGGAACUGUCAGACAGUGAAUCAGGGGUAACUUUGAGGAAUAAACUGUACUAUUUGGCUUAACCAAAAAUUCUUAAAAUUUUAUGGAAGAAAGGAAAAUAAGUCUAGUUUCAGGAAAAAUUAACGGAACUUAAUUUGGAGUUUCGUAGCUCCAGAUAUAAAUAAUUUAGUAACCAUUGCUCAGAAAGACAGCUUGUAGUGAACUUGAGAAUAUGUUGUAAACAUUGAUAAAACAAGUUAUUAAGUGCUUAUUGUUUUCAUAUGAACUUACUAAGCGAAAGCUUACCCCCCCUCUUCUUUCCCAUGUUUUCUAGAGUUUCUAGGUUAGCUCGGGUUGGAGGCCGUCAGAGAUAUUAUCACACUGUCAAGCUAACGCUAUUGGUGUAGUGAUUUCAAGUACUUUGAGCCUAUGACAUGUAUAGGAGUUUAAAUAUUAGAGUAUGUGAUAUGGCUUUAACCAUAUGUGUUGGCCUAUUUUGAUUAUGGGGUUGUAAAUCUAUUUUAAUUAUGCAUGCAUGUACUAUGGUAUUAUGUGAUGAGUUUAUAAUGAUUAUA